UUCUUUUUUUUUUUCUCCUUUUUGCAUAUUUUUGUUAGGUGCUUCUUCUCUGCCUAAAAUAUAAAGUCCAGAGUGCAGCUGGUGCAAGUCCUAGCUAUGGAUUUCAAGCAAGACAAAGAUAGUGUCAGACACUGAUCCAACUGAACUAAGGACCCACGUACUUUGGGAGUUGGCUUUGGGGGAAAAAUUCUUACACAGAUACACAGAAGACGACCAGGGAGAACACCAGCCCAAACACAAUAAAACAAAAUACAAAACACAAACAUAUAUAUGCAGAUCAGGAAUCAAUCUUUCACACUGAUCCUACAUUCCUUGCAUAGCUUUGCAUAUGCAGAGAAUGUGGGAUGUGGCCCUUCAGUUACAUGUUUUUGCAAAUGACGAAGGGGAGAUUAUUUGCAAUGGUAACAUUUGAAGCUAUUUUGGCAUCAGCACAAAUUACCAGGGGCAGGAUCAGAUUCUCACACAAAUACGGAAGCUCUCUAGCGAGCAAGGCAGGGAUGAGAAAACAAUACAGCAGAUUAAUUCUCGUCCAGUGACCAAAAAGAAGGGAAUUCCUAGUUAUUACACACCUUCAAAACUUUCAUUACUUUUUCAAAGAAGAAAGAAAAGACUACAGAUUCUAUCAUCCCUAAAACCAUAGGAACAUUGCUAGGAAAAUCUCUUUCUCAAAAGGAACCGCCCUUCAGCAGAAAUAAAGUCUGAGAUGGAACCAAAGAAAGAAACAACAGAACCUUGGUAAGAGCCAAAAAGAGAACCAGGUAAUUCAAAAACAAAGUAGCAGUUCGAAUGAUACUGCAGGAUGCACAAACUCUAGUAGAUAAUCUCACAGAUGACCUCACAGAGCCCCUCAUCGACCCAGGUAAUUCUUGAUUCCAUUAGAAAAGAGAGAGAGAAAAUAAUACUAGGAAAAAAAAAAAAUUAAAAUUAAGAAACAACCUUCCUCUUUUUUUUUAAAAUAAAAAUCAAGAUCAUCUCCCCUCCCCCCUUCUAUCUGGAAGCAGGUUAGCUAACCUUAACAGUCUCAAUUUAAAAUAAAAUAUAUAUUUAUAUAUAGAUUCAUAUAUAUAAUAAAAGAGAAGAUAUUAGUGGCAGUGUACGCAAAACAAAAAAAAAGAAAACAAAGAAAAAUUACUUUUAACAAUCUCACUUUUUUUUGCUUUUUUUUUUACACAAAUACUGUUGUAAAUAUAUUAAAAAAAUCAGCAUUCUAUCUGGUAAACGUCACUUUUGCCCCUCUAUAAAAUUUUGAAUUAAAAAAGUCCCAAGAACUCUUUUUUUUUCUUUAAUUAUUAUUCCCCUCCCCCCCCCAACACCCUCUAUUCCUCUUUCUUCCACAAGAAUAAAUCCUGAUGCAACUUUUGUUUUUUUUUGCAAAGAUUGUGGGAACUAACCCUUCUCUUGUACCUAGAUCCAUAGGUUGCAACCUCUGAUAUCUUUGAUUUUCCUCUGUGUUUCUCUUUGCCUUCUGUGAAAGUCCCUCUUGAUUGUGCUGAGGCCCUGGGCUCAGCGAAGACACUGAAUAAAUUACAUAAAAGCCACCGUUGCUCGUUGUCUGAAUCUUCUUGGUUUCUGCUAUAAGGUGGUGGUGGUGGUAUGAGAAAAGCAGCGGGGAGGGUGCGCCAGACAGCGUGGGAUGGAGCAGAAUCCUGGUGAGGAACCUCUGAUUCUUUUUCCUCACCCUGCAGGGACUCCACACUACCCAAGCCACACUGCCUUGCACUCCCCUCAGCCCUUUCGUGUGUUUGUGGAUGCGUGUGUGUGAGAAAGCAGACACGUGGUGGAAACCAGCAGGGCCUUGUUUCCUCUGGUUGCUGCUCAACCAGAAGCAAAAUAUUCCACAGUUCUAACUGGAUACUGUGAAGUCCAAAAGCGGUCAGCAUUGUGAGUUAUGUCCAUUGAAACACUGCGAGCGGUGUACUUAUAACGACAGUAGGCCUUGUAGAUUUGUAAUAUAUUUUGUUUUGUUUCUUUUCGUUUUUUGUAGUGCUCUUCACAAGUGAGAAAAAAGAAUUUUUUUUUUUUUUUAUUUUUCUGUCUGUUUUUUGAUUUUUUUUGUGGUUUUUUUUUUUGUUUGUUUGUUUGUUUGUUUUUUUGUAGUAAAGAAGGGUUGUAUUUAGAGGCCAGUAGCUAGAGAUCCAACCAGUGGAGCUCAUGAAGCACUACCUGGCCUUAAGGCCACCAUCCAAGGGAGGUUGGGAAAAUUAUUACUCUCCCAGCCUCCGGAAAUGUAAUGUACCAGCAGGCAAAAAACAGUUCUUCAUGUAGUACAAAAACAACAAAACGAAACGAACCCCAAAAAAAAAGAAAAAAAAAA
rnacentral:lncRNA from 1 species